rnacentral:sRNA from 1 species
UCAAUUGUCACGUUUGUAUUUGAUGUUUUUUCACAACGUCAAACUAGAGUCAUGAUCAACUGGAUCCUCUUCUCCCGAAGAAGAGUGGGACUUCGAUGAUGGUAGAUCUUUUGAAGAUUGCAAAAUUGCAUUUUGACUAAGGUAAAAAAAAAAAAAAAAAACUAGGAUGAUCUUGUUGUGCUCCAGGGUUGUGUUAUUGAGUUGAACAGAAAAUUUAACGUUGCUGGGGAGGAGAUUGUGUAGUGGAGUUGAACUUCAACUCUUAUAUGAUCAUCCCCUUCUCCGGGCUGCAAUAAUUGAAUGCUAAACUAUGCACCUAGGCUUCCGGCAUCCAGCGUGUCUGUGAGCUAUAGCUUGCAAAUGGUGGAUAAGCUCUAUCCUGUCCCACUUGGCGGCUGUCUCGCGUCAUUGUGUUCGGUGAAGCGAAUUCUAGAACCACAGAGCUAAUGCUCUGGGUGCUCGUUUUGGAAGGCACAAGGAGAAAAUAAAAUAAAAAUAAAGGCAUGAACAAAGGAAUAUAAUUCAAACCUUCAAGCUAAGUAAGCAAGAAGCAGCGCAAGGAGAAGAGGCUACUCUUCAAUCCAUCUGCACAUGAGGAC